rnacentral:lncRNA from 1 species
GGGAAAUAGAGCGUAUGUAAACUGUAAAAAAAAUUAAACUGACUGGAGAAUUUCAGGAGCGAUAUCAAAAGUCAAAGGUACUUAGGGACUGGGCACAUUUUUUGCCCUCCCCCUAUUUUCCAAAUACCGAUUUUUAUACCUUCUGUUUUUCUGUACUCUAUGAACAUGCAUAUAUACUUUAAUUACUAUACAGAGAAUUUCAGGAGAGGUGUCAAAAGUCAAAGGUACUUAGGGACUGGGCCCAUUUAUUGCCCUCCCCCUAUUUUCCAAAUACCGAUUUUUAUACCUUCUGUUUUUCUGUACUCUAUGAACAUGCAUAUAUACUUUAAUUAAAUUACUAUACAGAGAAUUUCAGGAGAGGUAUCAAAGUCAAAGGUACUUACAUAUAUAUAUAUACAUCAGUGAACGCCAUGAAUAGUAAAGAGCCCCCCCCCCCAAGAUAACCAUUGGAAUUUAUAGUAAAUUAUAACAAAUACAGUUAUUCAUAGUAAAUGUAUGUAUACAGAAAUAUAUCCACAGUGACCGCCG